GGGUAACACUAACUGGAGGACCGAACCGACUAAUGUUGAAAAAUUAGCGGAUGACUUGUGGCUGGGGGUGAAAGGCCAAUCAAACCGGGAGAUAGCUGGUUCUCCCCGAAAGCUAUUUAGGUAGCGCCUCGUGAAUUCAUCUUCGGGGGUAGAGCACUGUUUCGGCUAGGGGGUCAUCCCGACUUACCAACCCGAUGCAAACUACGAAUACCGAAGAAUGUUAUCACGGGAGACACACGGCGGGUGCUAACGUCCGUCGUGAAGAGGGAAACAACCCAGACCGCCAGCUAAGGUCCCAAAGUCAUGGUUAAGUGGGAAACGAUGUGGGAAGGCACAGACAGCCAGGAUGUUGGCUUAGAAGCAGCCAUCAUUUAAAGAAAGCGUAAUAGCUCACUGGUCGAGUCGGCCUGCGCGGAAGAUGUAACGGGGCUAAACCAUGCACCGAAGCUGCGGCAGCGACACUAUGUGUUGUUGGGUAGGGGAGCGUUCUGUAAGCCUGCGAAGGUGUGCUGUGAGGCAUGCUGGAGGUAUCAGAAGUGCGAAUGCUGACAUAAGUAACGAUAAAGCGGGUGAAAAGCCCGCUCGCCGGAAGACCAAGGGUUCCUGUCCAACGUUAAUCGGGGCAGGGUGAGUCGACCCCUAAGGCGAGGCCGAAAGGCGUAGUCGAUGGGAAACAGGUUAAUAUUCCUGUACUUGGUGUUACUGCGAAGGGGGGACGGAGAAGGCUAUGUUAGCCGGGCGACGGUUGUCCCGGUUUAAGCAUGUAGGCUGGUUGUCCAGGCAAAUCCGGAUAAUCAAGGCUGAGGUGUGAUGACGAGGCACUACGGUGCUGAAGUAACAAAUGCCCUGCUUCCAGGAAAAGCCUCUAAGCAUCAGGUAACAUUAAAUCGUACCCCAAACCGACACAGGUGGUCAGGUAGAGAAUACCAAGGCGCUUGAGAGAACUCGGGUGAAGGAACUAGGCAAAAUGGUGCCGUAACUUCGGGAGAAGGCACGCUGGUGUGUAGGUGAAGCCCCUGCGGGUGGAGCUGAGACCAGUCGAAGAUACCAGCUGGCUGCAACUGUUUAUUAAAAACACAGCACUGUGCAAACACGAAAGUGGACGUAUACGGUGUGACGCCUGCCCGGUGCCGGAAGGUUAAUUGAUGGGGUUAUCCGUAAGGAGAAGCUCUUGAUCGAAGCCCCGGUAAACGGCGGCCGUAACUAUAACGGUCCUAAGGUAGCGAAAUUCCUUGUCGGGUAAGUUCCGACCUGCACGAAUGGCGUAAUGAUGGCCAGGCUGUCUCCACCCGAGACUCAGUGAAAUUGAACUCGCUGUGAAGAUGCAGUGUACCCGCGGCAAGACGGAAAGACCCCGUGAACCUUUACUAUAGCUUGACACUGAACAUUGAGCCUUGAUGUGUAGGAUAGGUGGGAGGCUUUGAAGCGUGGACGCCAGUCUGCGUGGAGCCAACCUUGAAAUACCACCCUUUAAUGUUUGAUGUUCUAACGUUGGCCCCUGACCGGGGUUGCGGACAGUGUCUGGUGGGUAGUUUGACUGGGGCGGUCUCCUCCCAAAGCGUAACGGAGGAGCACGAAGGUUAGCUAAUCCUGGUCGGACAUCAGGAGGUUAGUGCAAUGGCAUAAGCUAGCUUGACUGCGAGCGUGACGGCGCGAGCAGGUGCGAAAGCAGGUCAUAGUGAUCCGGUGGUUCUGAAUGGAAGGGCCAUCGCUCAACGGAUAAAAGGUACUCCGGGGAUAACAGGCUGAUACCGCCCAAGAGUUCAUAUCGACGGCGGUGUUUGGCACCUCGAUGUCGGCUCAUCACAUCCUGGGGCUGAAGUAGGUCCCAAGGGUAUGGCUGUUCGCCAUUUAAAGUGGUACGCGAGCUGGGUUUAGAACGUCGUGAGACAGUUCGGUCCCUAUCUGCCGUGGGCGCUGGAGAAUUGAGGGGGGCUGCUCCUAGUACGAGAGGACCGGAGUGGACGCAUCACUGGUGUUCGGGUUGUCAUGCCAAUGGCACUGCCCGGUAGCUAAAUGCGGAAGAGAUAAGUGCUGAAAGCAUCUAAGCACGAAACUUGCCCCGAGAUGAGUUCUCCCUGAGACUUUAAGUCUCCUGAAGGAACGUUGAAGACGACGACGUUGAUAGGCCGGGUGUGUAAGCGCAGCGAUGCGUUGAGCUAACCGGUACUAAUGAACCGUGAGGCUUAACCUU
rnacentral:rRNA from 1 species